rnacentral:lncRNA from 1 species
AAACAAUGUCACAGAGCAGCAACACUGGGAAUCCAAUGAAAUCGAUCAACUGUGUCAUUUCUGAACCGUACUAUUUACUCCAUUUUCUAUCACUCUUCUCAUACAUUCCCAUUCGCUGUUCCGCCUCCGCUCUUCUUAUCUCCUUUGCAGAGUAUUCACUUCUUCACGGAUUAUAUUCCUUUUCUAAAUAUUGCAAUUGAAAUCGCUUAGUUUAGUGAUAUAAUUGUUUUGCUUCUUUGUGGUGAAUCUGCAGGAAAUUCAAGCGGUUCUUGCAUUUUGUGUUUUAUCAGCUGUUAAGUUAUGAUUAUUUUUACCAAAAUCGAAAUUUUGAAAGAAUCAUUUUGGUACAUGUAUUUAAUUAAACGAAUAUAGAUGAUAUUUGCAAGGAAAGGUAAUAUUGGCUUUAUUUCCCAACUUUAGUUUACAUAAGGUGGAAAUAACAAACUUUAGUUUGAUACGAUGGUUUAUUCUAAUUGUUAAAAGAUUGUCUAGAUACAAUUGUUAAUAAAGAUGUUCUUGUUUGUUAUAUUUACUGACAGGUGGUAAAAGUGGAAACAUGGGAGGGUUUCAUAUCAGAUACUUUAUUUUUUGCCAAUGUUGCAUUUGCCUCAAAUGCGUUGUGUAAACAGCUUGUAUUAAAAAACUAAAAUGAACCAGAUUUGCUAAAUGUCGUCAUACAGUCAUAAAUUGCAAAAUUUAGGAAACACUGAAACUUUUGGAAAUGAUAGAACUGAAAAUUUUUAGGAUUUGAUAGGAUAUAUUUCAAUAAAGAAGAAAAGGAGUAUAAAGAGAAGAAAAAGUGAGAAAUGGGAAUGCCACAUUAGACUUUUAUUGAUUGCCUUGCUCAGUAUGACAGCAUGGCAUAUCCACUAACAUCUCCACAUGAAUGAUAGUGUCACAAUGAAAAUAUGUUCAUUUUAUCAUCUUCAUCAAAAAGAGAAUUUCCUUAUCGCUUUUUGAUGAUGAUAUUUUAAAUGAAACAGCAAUAUAGAUUUGUAAAAUAUUAAUCACUUAUGGUAGACACAAGUAGUUAGUUUUCGCCUCUGCCGUAGAGCUCACCAUUUGUAAGGAAAGAGGUCUUUGACAAAGAACUUAAUUGUGAGAUGUAAAGAGCAUCUUGAGGAUAGUUAUCUCAUUGCAUAUCAUUUUGACAUUUACAAAAGUUUUGGACUUAGCUAUAUAGAGGAAACGGUGAUUCCAACAAGUUUGGUGGAUUCUUAGUCAGGCUGGUUUGAAUUAUAUUCAGUAACCUUUUUUGGAUAAUAUGUUAUCUGGAACGUGCCUUCCUACCUUUUAGCCUUUCAUGCCUAUUUUCUUUUCAUUUUACACAAUUCUUUUAUAUUUGAACUUUUAAGAAAAUAUAUCUUUUAACUCGAGUUCAUAUUUUCUCAGAUAUUCCUUGUUGCUUCUGGUUUGGUGAUGGACUAUCACGUGGCUCUGUGGUAUGCAUUAGUAUUUUCUGGUAGGUCUUGCACAGUGGAAGUUGUCAAAAGUUUAAAUUGACACAAUAAUUUUAACUUAUGUCAUUCUGCAUUUUUCCAACGGUUAUAUAUGUUAUAGCACAACAAGCUGCAUAUGAAGGAGGUAUGGGAUUAUCUCACUGUUACAAUUUUUUUCCCGUUUGCCCCUUGCAUUGAAACUUAGCUUCUUUGAGAUAAAGUUUAUAUGCUCUUACUCAAAGUCAUGAUGGCCUCCACAAUGUGAUAUACUAUCCUAAUAUAUAAUGUUGUCUUUUUUCUUUGACUGGUUUUUAUAAUUCGUCUUCAUUUGACUUUUCUAGGUACGGCAAACCAACUAACACCGCUCCAGUUGGAAACUUUGCUAACUGAAGGGAACAAGUCAAAAUCCAGGCUGGUUGGUUUUUGGACUUGCUUUAAUUAUUUCAACAAACAUAUGGAAUCUGAGUGCAUGUCUUUACAAAACUAUUGUGAUAAUAUUGUAGUGGGUGAACUUUUCAAUGAAAUGAAAAAAAUAAGAACCAAG